rnacentral:sRNA from 1 species
CUUCCUUUCCUUUCAGCGGAGCGCGGCGGCAAGAUGGCCGUGCAAAUAUCCAAGAAGAGGAAGUUUGUCGCUGAUGGCAUCUUCAAAGCUGAACUGAAUGAGUUUCUUACUCGGGAGCUGGCUGAAGAUGGCUACUCUGGAGUUGAGGUGCGAGUUACACCAACCAGGACAGAAAUCAUUAUCUUAGCCACCAGAACACAGAAUGUUCUUGGUGAGAAGGGCCGGCGGAUUCGGGAACUGACUGCUGUAGUUCAGAAGAGGUUUGGCUUUCCAGAGGGCAGUGUAGAGGUGAGUGAUUCUGGCAUAUGCCAGAGAUAAUGGCUCUUCAGAAUGAUACUUAUAAAAACUUUUCAACUUGGAGACUUUAAUUGUUUGUUCAGUACAACUGGACUGGUAUAACUUGAAAUUCUCUUAAUGAAUAAUGGGCUUAACUUUGUAAGCCUAUUCUGCUAAUGGCUGAUGGUUAAAGGAUUUUACAUUCAACUUGGGUAUAGAAAUGAUGCAUAUGAUGGACUGACCAUCCCCAUUGGUGGACUUGGUGUGGCCAAAGGAGCCAGGGUGGGAGGGCAAGGAACCUGCAUUGUGUGUAGGUGGUAGAAGUGCUUCAGGAAUUGAGGGAUACUGAAAUUAUAGGCUGUAUGUGAUGGUGGUGUCCAAUCUUUUGGCCUCCGUAGGCUACAUUGGAAGAAGAAAUGUCUUGGGCCACACUACUGGUAGCACAAAAAUCACGAUGUUGAAUUUGUGUUGGGCCACAAUCAAAGCCAUCUCCUGGGCAGCGUGCGGCCCGUGGGUUGGGCAGGCUUGGUGUAGAAAGUGAUACUUGUGUGGCAAAUGCCAAAUUUUCAACUUUCAGUUGAAAAUAAUGGUGAUGGUAACAGGAUAUCCCUUGCUUCCUUUAAAGCUUUAUGCGGAAAAGGUGGCCACUAGAGGUCUGUGUGCCAUUGCCCAGGCAGAGUCUCUGCGUUACAAACUCCUAGGAGGGCUUGCUGUGCGGAGGGCCUGCUAUGGUGUGCUGCGGUUCAUCAUGGAGAGUGGGGCCAAAGGCUGCGAGGUCGUGGUGUCUGGGAAACUCCGAGGACAGAGGGCUAAAUCCAUGAAGUUUGUGGAUGGCCUGAUGAUCCACAGCGGAGACCCUGUUAACUACUACGUUGACACUGCUGUGCGCCACGUGUUGCUCAGACAGGGUGUGCUGGGCAUCAAGGUGAAGAUCAUGCUGCCUUGGGACCCAACUGGUAAGAUUGGCCCUAAGAAGCCCCUGCCUGACCACGUGAGCAUCGUGGAACCGAAAGAUGAGAUACUGCCCACCACCCCCAUCUCAGAACAGAAGGGUGGGAAGCCAGAGCCGCCUGCCAUGCCCCAGCCAGUCCC